CUUCUGUUUUCCUUUUUAGUGUGUUCUUUCCUCUCACCUUCCUUCACUCCUGUCACUUCAUUAUUUAGCUAAUGAUUUUUUUUCUUCUAUUAAUGUUGGUCAGUGACCCAGACAUUGUCUUCAUUCUGAAGUGAAAUUGAUUUAGGCAAGUCCCCUCAACUAUUUCUUGACUAUGCUUAGGAUUAAAGAGCUCUUCAGAUACAUGAACUAUUUCCUUUUGUUCAGUAUCUGUGAUAUUGUUUUCUUUUGUUUAAUCUCUUUGCUCAGGAUUUUAGUUUUAACUAGAACCAGUUCAGUGACUAAGGAAUUCAAAAAACUUUUAAGAGAUUCCACCACUGCCACCCCACCUGAUUUCUGAUGUUCCAUAUAAUCUAAUGAAAUAAGUACGCCUCCUUUCCCUUCAGACUAUGUGAGAAGGGAUCCAAAACCAAGCAGUCUGGAAGCCAUUACACAGAGAGUUUGCCCUGUGCUUGGCUUCCCGGAACUGGGGACUCUUGCUAGAAAAACUCAAAAGGGCCUUUUGGUAUUGAGAUGAAGAUUUCUGUCCAGGCUGAUUUCUUUUCUUGGUGGAAUCAACUCUCGCUGCUCAGCUGUGACUUCCUGUUCCUGAGAUGCUCAGCUCAAUUAACUUCUCAUCCCUCCCCGGCUCCUAAUCUGAGGGGAGAUAUAAAUCAGCAUCGUAUUUAUUAUAUGUUAUGGCCACAUUCUAGAUGUCUGUAUUUCUUAUUAGUAUAUCAUUGACAAAAAUCUGCCCUACUCAACUCACUGUAUUCUCUUUCAGAUCCAAUGUGAUAAUUUAUGUGAAAUCUUUCUGCAAACUAUACAGUAUGAUAAAAAUAUAAGGUAGUUUCACUGGAAACAACAGAAGACUAGAAGCUGAUGUGACGUGGCAAUAUCAACCAGGAUCAGUUAAUCAUCACAUCUUCAGUAGUCUGGAAAUGUCAGCAUGCCAUGAAAGUAGGUGUUCAAGAACAUGACUGGAAAAAUACUUCAAUCCUCAGCCCACUUGGAUGAAGCCAAAGAAUCCACUGUCUAUCUUUUCUAUUCCAGCUGUACCUGUCAAAGAAUACCCAUCUCGAGUUCUGGAUAUGUGCUCUGAGAAGGUGCCCAUGUCACCGACCACACUGGAGGCCAAUGCAGAUACUGGGGGAAGGUUCCAUGGUAGCUAAGUGUGGACAAGCUAAUCACUGAAGUUCCCUGAUGCAGAGUUGAUAAUCUCUCUAGAGUUGGAUGAAAGACUGUGCUGCCUUGAAGCUCUGAGAGAUGCCAUGCCAAUUCAAGGCAGGGUCUUUAUUGUUGAAACUCUUGCGUAAUGACAUCUUUAUUCAGGUGAAAAUACAGGAUGAAUUUCAACUAUAUGAUAUUGUUUAUGUUCCUCAGACAUGUUAUUUGUCUUUACAAAGAUUGGUUUCAAUAAACUGUGUGACUGAUAUUAAAUAAACAUGGAAUUUUACACAUUCAUAA
ensembl:lncRNA TMEM161B-DT TMEM161B divergent transcript